AUCCCGCUGACGAGUUCCAAAUAGGACGAAACGCGCGUCCUGAAU
rnacentral:hammerhead_ribozyme from 1 species